rnacentral:rRNA from 1 species
UUAGAGUUUGAUCCUGGCUCAGGAUGAACGCUAGCGGCAGGCUUAACACAUGCAAGUCGAGGGGCAGCAUGGUGGUAGCAAUACCACCGAUGGCGACCGGCGCAAGGGUGCGUAACGCGUGAGCAACAUGCCCUCUUCACGGGGAUAACCCGGAGAAAUCCGGCCUAAAACCCGAUGGUGAUCUGGACAGGCAUCUGUUUCGAUCUAAAACUGAGGUGGAAGAGGAUUGGCUCGCGUGACAUUAGGUAGUCGGCGGGGUAACGGCCCACCGAGCCGACGAUGUCUAGGGGAACUGAGAGGUUGGUCCCCCACACUGGAACUGAGACACGGUCCAGACUCCUACGGGAGGCAGCAGUGAGGAAUAUUGGACAAUGGAUGGAAAUCUGAACCAGCCAUGCCGCGUGCAGGAUUAAGGCCCUAUGGGUUGUAAACUGCUUUUGUGCGAGAGCAAUAAGGUCCACGAGUGGACCGAUGAGAGUAUCGUACGAAUAAGCAUCGGCUAACUCCGUGCCAGCAGCCGCGGUAAUACGGAGGAUGCGAGCGUUAUCCGGAUUUAUUGGGUUUAAAGGGUGCGUAGGCUGUCCGGUAAGUCAACGGUGAAAUUUACAUGCUCAACAUGUACCGUGCCGUUGAUACUGUCGGCCUGGAAUGCGGAUGCCGUGGGAGGAAUGUGUGGUGUAGCGGUGAAAUGCAUAGAUAUCACACAGAACACCGAUUGCGAAGGCAUCUCACGAAUCCGCUAUUGACGCUGAGGCACGAAAGUGUGGGGAUCAAACAGGAUUAGAUACCCUGGUAGUCCACACAGUAAACGAUGAUAACUAACCGUCGGCGAUACACAGUCGGUGGCCAAGCGAAAGCGAUAAGUUAUCCACCUGGGGAGUACGACCGCAAGGUUGAAACUCAAAGGAAUUGACGGGGGCCCGCACAAGCGGAGGAACAUGUGGUUUAAUUCGAUGAUACGCGAGGAACCUUACCCGGGCUCGAACGGCUGGAGAACGAUUCAGAGAUGAAGAGGUCCUUCGGGACUCCAGUCGAGGUGCUGCAUGGUUGUCGUCAGCUCGUGCCGUGAGGUGUCGGCUUAAGUGCCAUAACGAGCGCAACCCUUGUCGUCAGUUGCCAUCAGGUAAUGCUGGGGACUCUGGCGAGACUGCCACCGCAAGGUGUGAGGAAGGGGGGGAUGACGUCAAAUCAGCACGGCCCUUACGUCCGGGGCGACACACGUGUUACAAUGGUGAGUACAGAGGGCAGCUACCUGGUGACAGGAUGCAAAUCUCCAAAACUCAUCCCAGUUCGGAUCGGAGUCUGCAACUCGACUCCGUGAAGUUGGAUUCGCUAGUAAUCGCGCAUCAGCCAUGGCGCGGUGAAUACGUUCCCGGGCCUUGCACUCACCGCCCGUCA